rnacentral:tRNA from 1 species
GCCUGGCUAGCUCAGUCGGUAGCGCAUGAAACUUAAUUUCAGGGUCGUGGGUUUGAGUCCCACAUCGGGUG